rnacentral:rRNA from 1 species
AUACGGAGGAUCCGAGCGUUAUCCGGAUUUAUUGGGUUUAAAGGGUGCGCAGGCGGGAGAUUAAGUCGGCGGUGAAAUUUUGCAGCUCAACUGUAAAAGUGCCUUCGAAACUGGUUUCCUUGAGUGUAGAUGAAGUAGGCGGAAUUUGUGGUGUAGCGGUGAAAUGCAUAGAUAUCACGAGGAACUCCGAUUGCGCAGGCAGCUUACUAAACUACUACUGACGCUCAGGCACGAAGGCGUGGGGAUCAAACAGGAUUAGAUACCCUGGUAGUCCACGCAGGAAACGAUGAUUACUCGCUGUUUGCGAUACACAGCAAGCGGCUUAGCGAAAGCGUUAAGUAAUCCACCUGGGGAGUACGUUCGCAAGAAUGAAACUCAAAUGAAUUGACGGGG